rnacentral:rRNA from 1 species
AUGAACGCUAGCGACAGGCUUAACACAUGCAAGUCGAGGGGUAACAGGGUAGCAAUACCGCUGACGACCGGCGCACGGGUGAGUAACGCGUAUGCAACCUGCCUAUAACUGGGGAAUAGCUCCCUGAAAGGGGGAAUUAACACCGCAUAACACUAUUGAUUCGCAUGGAUUGGUAGUUAAAUGUAGCGAUACAGGUUAUAGAUGGGCAUGCGUGACAUUAACUAGUUGGUGAGGUAACGGCUCACCAAGGCUACGAUGUCUAGGGGUUCUGAGAGGAAGGUCCCCCCACACUGGUACUGAGACACGGACCAGACUCCUACGGGAGGCAGCAGUGAGGAAUAUUGGUCAAUGGGCGCAAGCCUGAACCAGCCAUGUCGCGUGCAGGAAGACUGCCCUAUGGGUUGUAAACUGCUUUUAUAGUAGAAGAAACACAUCUACGUGUAGAUGUCUGCCAGUAUACUAUGAAUAAGCAUCGGCUAACUCCGUGCCAGCCGCUGC